AUGUCUUCCUCCAACCAAAUCAUCUCCUCUGGCCUAAACAAUACGAUCUCAGAACCUCUUACUCACACAAACUAUGUUUUAUGGCGAGCCCAAGCCCGAUCCCAGAUCAUAGGAGCAGGUCUCUUCGGAUACCUCGAUCAAGCAAUCCCAGAACCACCAGCCACCAUUACCUCCAAAAACGCAGAAGGAAAAGAUCAAACCACACCAAACCCAGCCUACUCCGCCUGGUUGAUUCAAGAUCAACAGCUUGUGGCAUAUCUGCUCCGCAACCUCUCCAAAGAAGUCCUAGUACAGGUCGCUUCCCUAGAAAAAUCCCAUGUCAUCUGGUCUUCUCUCGCAAACAUGUUUGCGGCUCAAUCCAGAUCACGUGCCAACAAUUGCCGUGCUGCUCUUUCCAACGCCCAAAAGGGUUCCCAAUCUGCCGCGGCCUAUUUUGGUCAGAUGCGCGCGCUUGCAGAUGAACUUGCCAUGGCUGGAAAGCCACUUCUCGAGGGGGAGCUGAUCUCCUUUCUCAUCUCUGGUCUAGAUAUGGACUAUCAACCUCUUAUCUCUGCAUUAGACGUCCGCACUGAGCCUCUCUCCGUCGAUGAUCUGUUUGGCAUGGUGUCCAACUUUGAUCAAAGGGUGGAGAUGUUUCACGGCUCUGGAUCGGGUGCUUUCAAAACAUCCGCCAACGCCGCCUCUCGAGGACGCGGUGGCUUCUCCAAAGGCAACCGCGGCGGCAGUGGCUUCUCCAAGGGCGGCAACAACAACGGCCACAGCGGCGGCGGUGGCUAUGGUAGCUACGGCGGCGGCGGCGACGGCGGCUACAACAACAAUCACAGCAACGGUGGCGGCGGCCACCGUGGCGGCGGUGGCUCAAACUACAACAACUACGGCGGCGGAGGGGGCUACUACAACAACAACGGCCCUCCGCGCCCCUUCUACAACAACAAUCAAGGGCGCCGUUUUGCUGGGUAUGAAGAGUACGAAAAUAAAUGUCAGAUCUGUAAAAAAACUAACCAUAUUGCAAAAGAAUGCAAAUGGCGCUAUGCAGAGGACAACUCUCAGAAGAAGCGUGUUGCCGCUGCGGCAGACAUCUCCUAUGGUAGUGCCGACACCAACUGGUAUGUUGAUUCGGGCUCCAACGAGCACAUCAUCUUAGAUCUCGAGAAGCUGACCAUGCAUGAGAGAUACCACGGCAAAGAUCAGAUCAACACGGCAGGAAACGCUCCAGGAUCAGGUCAUGAGGAGGGUCCUCUAUCGCGGUAG
rnacentral:rRNA from 1 species